rnacentral:rRNA from 1 species
UAUUUUGUAAAGUUGUUCUAGUUUUGUAACUAAAAUGGUUUGGCAGUGAGCGAUUCUUAUUAGGGGAAUAUGCAUAGUGAAGGAUGGUCCACCUAUUAGUUUACUCUUUUUAUGUUGGUGUAUGUCUGGUUUGAUAUUAUUGUUGAAUAAUUUAAGUUUGUGUAGUUUUAGUUAAGCUAAGUCUAUGUGCUGCUUAUUGGAGUUUUUGUGUGUUACAUUAAUAAGGGUGUUAUUGUAAGAUGAUGUGAUUUAG